GUAGAGAGACAGUUAGAGAGGCAGGCAGGUAGAGAGACAGUUAGAGAGACAGGCAGGUAGAGAGACAGACAGGUAGAGAGACAGGCAGGCAGAGACAUGUCACUCAUUGAGCAGGUAGAGACAGGCAGGUAGAGAGACAGACAGGUAGAGAGACAGUUAGAGAGAGACAGGCAGGUAGAGAGACAGGCAGGUAGAGAGACAGUUAGAGAGACAUGCAGGUAGAGAGCAGGUAGAGAGGCAGGCAGGUAGAGAGACAGGCAGGUAGAGAGACAGGCAGGUAGAGACAGGCAGGUAGAGAGACAGGCAGGUAGAGAGACAGGCAGGUAGAGACAUGUCACCCAUUGAGCAUGUUUGGGAUGCUCUGGAUCAACGUGUACAACAGCGUGUUCCAGUUCCCACCAAUAUUCAGAAACAGCCAAUGAAGAGGAGUGGGACAACAUUCCACAAUCAACAGCCUGAUGUGAAGGAGAUGUUGUGUUGGGUUGCAUGAGGCAAAUGGUGACCAGAUAAGGACUGGUUUUCUGAGCCACCACCCCUUUUAUUAAGUUAUAUGAUGUAUCACACCAGAUACGGACUGGUUUUCUGAGCCACAACCCCUUUUAUUAAGGUAUAUAAUGUAUCACACCAGAUACGGACUGGUUUUCUGAGCCACAACCCCUUUAUUUUUUACAGAUAUUUGUGAACAACAGAUGCAUAUCUGUAUUCCCAGUCACGUGAAACCCAUAGAUCAGGGCCUAAUGAAUUUAUAGAAAUUGACUGAUUUCCUUAUAUAAACUGUACCUCAAUAAAAUCUUUGAAAUUGUUA